rnacentral:misc_RNA from 1 species
GUGAAGAACGUAGCAAAAUGCGAUACUUGGUGUGAAUUGCAGAAUCCCGUGAACCAUCGAGUUUUUGAACGCAAGUUGCGCCCGAAGCCUUUUGGCCGAGGGCACGUCUGCCUGGGCGUCACGCAUCGCGUCGCCCCCCACAAUUCUCCGUAAAGGGAACAUGUGUUUUGGGGGCGGAUAUUGGUCUCCCGUGCUCAUGGCGUGGUUGGCCGAAAUAGGAGUCCUUUCGAUGGACGCACGAACUAGUGGUGGUCGUAAAAACCCUCGUCUUUUGUUUCGUGCUGUUGCUCGCAAGGUAAACUCUUUAAAAACCCCAAUGUGUCGUCUCUUGACGACGCUUCGACCGCGACCCCAGGUCAGGCGGGACUACCCGCUGAGUUUAAGCAUAUCAAUAAGCGGAGGA